UCUCAUUUGUGUUUGUUCUGGGGAGUGGGGAACCAUUUUCAAGGUGAUGGUCAUUGUUGUUGAUUCCCUACUUCAGGUGAUAUCCCCUGCACUCAUGUGAAAGUCUACAUUGGACAUUUGUUGAAUCACCACAUUGAAGAAUCGACUUAGUUGACUGGCAUUGUAAGAUAUGCAAUUGAUAUCGCCAACGAAAAAUAUGCGCUCAUGGGUCUAUAAUAUAUAUUUAGCUGCUUGCCUUAUCCUGACUUCAGCAGAUGCUAAGCGAGGGCAUCAUAAAUUCUGAUGGAGCGUUGCUGAUUUAAAAUUUUUGUUGAUGAUU